UACGUAGGGGGCAAGCGUUGUCCGGAAUGACUGGGCGUAAAGGGAGUGUAGGCGGCUAUGCAAGUUAGAUGUGAAAUCCCUCGGCUCAACCGAGGAACUGCAUCUAAAACUGUAUAGCUGGAGUGCAGGAGAGGUGAGUGGAAUUCCUAGUGUAGCGGUGGAAUGCGUAGAUAUUAGGAGGAACACCAGAGGCGAAGGCGACUCACUGGACUGUAACUGACGCUGAGGCUCGAAAGCGUGGGGAGCAAAUA
rnacentral:rRNA from 1 species